rnacentral:tRNA from 1 species
AAAGGUAAGCUAAAUUAAGCUCGUGGGUUCAUACCCCAUUUAUGGAGGGUUUCCUCCCCUUUCUA